AUUCAUAUGGUUCUUAUCAUGUUUAAUCGUCAAAGUUGCAUUCUCUCCAAUUUGAUCGCAUAUUAAAUUAUUUAUUACUAACUAAACUUAAUACUCGAAUUCAUCUAUGAAAUCCUCAAGAUUUAUAUUAAAAUCUUUCUUUUUCCAAUAUUACUCCCACUUUUGUUAUUUAUUUUACUAACAUUUCUAACCAAUUAUUAUUCUCUAUUUAAAUUCUUACAACACCAUUUCGAAUUAUCACUAGUUAAAAAUCCCACUCUCUCUCCACAUUUUAUAAGUUACACUUCUCAAAAUAUUCUUUUUAACUCCAUUUUAUUCUUCAAAUAUUAUUAGUUAAUCUCAUUUCAUAUUUUUCACCCCAAACUUAUUCUUCCACUUCUCACUUUAUUACUAUUUUCCAAAUUUUUUGUUCUAUUAUCAAUCUUCUCAAAUUUAGCUCCAAAAUUAAUACUCCCUCCGUUUCAAAUUAGAUGUCCACUUUAAAAAAAUCACACAGUUUAAGAAAUGUUGAUUUUCACAAAUUAAUUUGCAUUAAAUGAUCAAAAUAUGUGGAGUGAGAUUGAUCUAGAAAAUAUAAAUAAGAGAUAUGAGGAGUAGAAUUGACUUUGGAAAUAUGAUUUUGCAUUGAAAGUUGAAGUGGACAAAUAAUUUGAAACAAAAGUUUUUCUUCAAGGACAUGUAAAUUGAAACGCAGGGAGUAUUUAUUAUCCCAAACUCUCAUUUCUCAACUUAUUAUUUUUAUUUUAAUUACUAUCUCAAUUAUGAAAUUACGGUAUUGCCCUCGUCACCUCCAAUCCAUCCUUUCCCCUCAUCUCUCCUCUCUCCCUCUUCCUUAACCCAUCAUCACCGCUGCCGACCGGAAAGAUUUCCGGCGGCCUGCCACCUUCACCAACAGCUCUCCCUCCUCUCCUCUCUCUCCUUCUCUCCUUUUCCCCAAAGUCGCUACUGAGGUGGUUUUGACCACCAACACCCACGACGCCAUCCGCUUCCCGAGAAGCUCUGUUCACCAUUGACGAUGAUUCCGUAGUUUCCCCACCACCCUGACUACCUACGCACACACUCGAUUCAUAAACGCCACACACACACCCAAUACACCAGUACGCACUCACCCACAUACACACACAAACCCAGUCCCUUUUCCAACAAUCAAUUCCAACCCAUCUCGCAAUAACCCAAAGCUACCAUCAAUUUUUAAUGCUUCAAUUCAUCAUUAAGAACCCUAUUUAGAUAUAUGCAUAUAAAAUCUAUACUCUCCUCAUAAAUUUGAAAGAGAAUAAGUUUAAGUUAGGUAUUUUAUAUGUAUAAAGCCAAAGCAGAGCAUAGUGUUUGC
rnacentral:lncRNA from 1 species